CUUAAAAAAUGUUCACCAAUUUCUUUGUGCAUUUGAACUAUUCAUUUUCAGUAAUGAAGAAGUUUUUUUAAAUUGUCAAAUGUCAAAAGAUGGUGAUUUCCAAAUUGACAGCAUCAUAACAAGCGAAGUGUUCUGCAUUAAGCUUCAUUCAAAGAUCGUAAAAUUAUAUCCAAAUCCAGUUUAGAAAUGAUUCUUCAUUCUUCAAAUAAUAAUUUUGUAUGCAUAAAGAUUUUGUAUAAAAGGAGAAAGAUUAUUUGAUAAUGUCAUCAGUCGAUUUUUGUUAAACAAUCAACAAUCACUUAAAACAUCAACAUGAAGUUCUUCAUCUUUUUUGCCUUGUUCAUUGUUGCCGUUAGUGCUGGAAGUCUUCCCAUUAUUGCCAGUUCAAGUUAUGGUGCAGCUAGACCAGCCCUUAUUACUACAUCAGUAGUAAGGCCUGUAGCUGUGGUUAAAACUGUCAAUGUUGCCCCAGUUGGAGUUAAACUUCUUUAAAAUUUAAAAUUUAAGUCUUUUUAAAACUGCAAAUGAAAAAAAUUGACCAGCAAAAAUUGUACUUAUAACAAUAUUAGAACAAAAAUAAAUGUAUUUUAAGUUAUCAGCAUUCUAAAAA